rnacentral:rRNA from 1 species
UACGUAUGGUGCAAGCGUUAUCCGGAAUGACUGGGUGUAAAGGGAGCGUAGACGGUUGUUCAAGUCUGAUGUGAAAGCCCUCGGCUUAACUGGGGGAGUGCAGUUGAAACUGGCAGUCUUGAGUACAGUAGAGGUGGGCGGAAUUCGUGGUGUAGCGGUGAAAUGCUUAGAUAUCACGAAGAACUCCGAUUGCGAAGGCAGCUCACUGGACUGCAACUGACACUGAGGCUCGAAAGUGUGGGUAUCAAACAGG